rnacentral:other from 1 species
UAAGUCCUGAUGUGUUCGUUUUUGUACCUAUUCGUUUUGACCGAACAUAUUACCUACGGGAGUUUGGCGUUUUCAUGCAGCAUACAUGCCUUUUAAAAGGACGUAUAAAGCUGAAACAGAACACCCACCUGCCAAGUGCGGGUUCAAAACACUAGGAUUUUGCGACGGCAUGAUUGGGGCUUAU